rnacentral:rRNA from 1 species
UACGUAGGUCCCGAGCGUUGUCCGGAUUUAUUGGGCGUAAAGCGAGCGCAGGCGGUUUGGUAAGUCAGAAGUAAAAGGCUGUGGCUCAACCAUAGUACGCUUUUGAAACUGUCAAACUUGAGUGCAGAAGGGGGGAGUGGAAUUCCAUGUGUAGCGGUGAAUUGCGUAGAUAUAUGGAGGAACACCGGUGGCGAAAGCGGCUCUCUGGUCUGUAACUGACGCUGAGGCUCGAAAGCGUGGGGAGCGAACAGG